rnacentral:lncRNA from 1 species
AUGAUUACUGAGUAUUCUCUCCCAGAUGAGGUAUUAAUAUAGAGCGCCAUGGCAUGCAGAAGAAGAAGCAUGUUGCAUCAGGUCAGAGGUCCAUCUGUUCUUGAGUUCUGUUCCCAACCAGGACCUAAAGCUGAUGGUCUUCAUCUGCUGUUCAUCCUCACUCAUGUACCAUUCAGAGAUACACCCUGGCUUGCAGUUCCAUCCUUCGUUUUCGUGGCUAAAAGUCCCUGAAAGGAAAUAGUCCUAUUCUGCACAGUUUGGGUCCAAAUUAAGCUAACCAGUGGAAUGUAAGUGCAGCAAAUUGAGCCUUACAAAUUAGUUUUAAUCAUUUUCUAGCACAAUCUAACCUAGUGACUCAUCACUGGGGCUUUUUUCAGCCAGAACUCAGUUCCAGCACCUUGUAAGUGGGCACCAUUGCCAUUAUAAGAGAACAACUGAGGUGAUCAUGGUGAUUUCCGGCACCUCUUUCUUUAGAACAGUGGUUCUCAACCUGUGGGUCCCCAGAUGUUGUUGGACUACAACUCCCAUCAUCCCUGAGCUCUGGCCUUGCUAGCUAGGGGUGAUGGGAGAUGGGAUCCUCAUAACAGAGGGUCCUAGUUGCGCACGGGACCCAAGAGCUCACCUGAUAGGGUUAGAAUGGGGGGGGGAGGAGCAAGAAGUCCUGGCCAUUCCCCUGGGAUCACACCAGGCGAUUUUAGCCAAUCCCCAGUGGGUGGCGUGAUCCCAGGGGCUUUAAAAACAGCAGUGUGAUGCAAGGAGGGGCACUUGCUUCGCACUGUUGAACACCCACCCAACCUCCCUAGUUUAGGUAGAGUCGCUUGGCCUUGCUUUGGUUUGGGUCGCCUGUUUUGGAACAGGGGCUGGGUAGGAAUUUUUCCAUUUGGAAGAUUGGCUUUAGCCAUUUGGUUUUCGCCUACCCCUCAGCAAAUCGUCACAACUUGUAAGGUGGCGGUUAGACAAUGGCUCAGUUGGAUUGUGGGGAGGGGAGGUGCGGCCAUCACCUGCCCCUCCAGGAACUGGGUAUUCCGUAAAAGGAAUCUGGGGGUCCUGGAUCUCGUCCGAAGUCCGCUUGAGGGGCUAGGGCCAUGCCAGGACCACAGGAACCUCGGGGUGAGCUUUGGUUGGUCCUCAUCGACCUAGCUCCCUCGUUUGGUUUACCCCAUUAGAUGAUUGCCCUGAGAGGUGGAGCCAGUUAUAGUGGGGAGUCAAUGCCUAAGCCAAUACCGCUCACGUGAUUGUAUUUCAAUAAAGUUGUGGCCAAAAAUUUUGCCCCAAAACUUAAACUAAUAUAAGUGUCCGUGUGUAUUUAUUUUGGGGGUGGGUCUUGGGGCCUCGAGAUGCAUUUGUAGUUCAACAACAUCUGGGGACCCGGAGGUUGAGAAAGGCUGCUCUAGAAGAAUAGAACUGGUCCUCACAUAUUCUGCCCGGUGUAUGAAGCUGCUCCUUCCUUCUAUCGCAAGCUCCAUGCUGUUCAUUUUUGCUUGGAGUGAGCCCAGAGUUUUAAUAUUAUGAGUGAGAGAGGGAAGAAAGCCCCACUCUCCACUACUAUAUUCAUAAUUUUAUAACCCCCUCUCCCCACUGUCCUCCCUUUCCAUGCUCCCUCUGUUCUGUUAUUGAACUGAAGGUAGCCUCAGUCAGCAAACAAGCCAUAGAUGGAGGCGGGCAUCGCAGUGCCUGCUGUGGCAGAGCUUGAUCUUAAGGAACCAUCAGGAUUACAGAUCAUUGCCUGGCUGAAUGAUGUCUUUCCUGGAGGAAGCUUAUUAACGAUGCUGCACUCUGAGGCUUGGCUUCGAGUAAUAAUUCUUUUAGCCGCACAAGGGAGCUUGUCACUGCAAUCAUUCUUCUUCACCGCAGGAGCCGAGUAGGACCUUCCAUGUGAAUCGAAGAGCAAGCCACUUAUCUCCUGUAACUAACUCUGUGUUGGCCGUUUCCAUAAAGAAAGUUUUCAUUUCCUUCCUUGCCUCUGGAAACCAUAUUUUUAAAUGUUGCAACCUGUGACCCUCCAGACAUUGUGGGACUGGAGCUGAUGGAAGGUGUAGUUUAAUUUCUACUUUAAAAGACCAGUACAUAUUCCAGUGGUCGGGGUUCCCUAGUACUCCAGAUAUUUGGAAUGAAUAUGAGGAAAUAUGAGGAAAGCUGAAGCACUCCUUAACAACAGGGCCUCUGGUAUUAUUUACAAUACCUCUAUAUCUGGCUGGGGCGGCAGGGAUAGGACAACUUUUCUGAAAAUCGACACGGCUUGUUGCAGAAUGAUGUUUUUAUAGCGCCUUAAAUUAUUUCCAUUCUGUUCUGUUGACGAAACAGCUGGCUUGCUAAUGCAAUGGAUAGCUAAAGCUAUGAAAGAAGCAUUUCAACUUGUUUAGAAAACUUAAUUUUAAGCAUUUGUGAUUUAAAGAAUUGGGGAAUUUUACUUCCUCAGAGUUAGGAACGGAUGAAUUUGUCAGUUUUGGUUUCUUUCAGUUCUAAUUUUUCCAAUCAUAAAUUCAGUCCUCUACAUUUCUGCAGCAGUUUACAAAUUUGUUUACAUUUUAAAAAUAAUAAUACUAAAUCAUCAUGAAAACUCAUUAGCAUCUUUAUUCUAAUUUCUUCUAACCCAGACAUUUUUGCACGCAAUCCCCCCAUUACAUUGCAUUUUAAUGUGCUAUUUUCAUUCAUUUUAAGAGUGUUUUCUGUUUUUAUGAUGAAUUUUAAUUGUUCUUGUUCUCUGUGUGGUUCUUAAAAAACAUUCUUUGCACACCACUUAGAAAUUCUGAAUAUUAUACGGUACAGUUGUACCUCAGAAGUCAAACGCCUUGCGACUCGAACAUUUUUGCUCCUGAAUGCCACAAAUCCAGAAGUGGGUGUUCCGCUUUGUGAACAUUUUUUGAAACCUGAACGUCUGACGCGGGUUCCACCGGUUCUGAUUGGCUGCAGGAGCUUUCUGCAGCCAAUCAGAAACCACGCCUUGGUUUCUGAACGUUUUGGAAGUCAAACAGAUUUCCAGAACGGACUCCAUUUGACUUCCGAGGUACGACUGUAUAACUGUAUGAACAUCUGAAAUGGAAAUGAAAACAAAUUAUUCACACUUUUCUGUAAAAUAUACAUUUUAGCACACAUUGUUUGGUUAGACAACUAUAGUGCAAAAUCUGGAGAAAUGGGAAUUUGAAGGACAGCUGUGUGUUAGCGCGUAAAGUGUGAAUUUCCUCACUAAAAUGCAAACAAGCUAAAAAUUUAUCUUCCCCAUCCUUACACAGUGUACAAGAUAAGAAGCUGGGCUGCAAAGCAGGGAGAGGCAGUUCUCUGGCCCAGGACCAAACUAUUUCAUGCUGGGAAUGGAUCGGUCCAGAUACAGGCGUGGCCAACCUUGUUGGUCAGUUUCCUUUUUCUCAUCCAUCUUCUUCAGCCUCCUUGACACCCGCUCAACUACCUUCUUCCAAAGAUGUUAUCUGUCAGCCACAGUUUGCCUGCUUGACUAAGCAUCAGCUCAAACAUGCCCCGGACUGACGGAUCUUUCUGACUUGCUUCCCUCUGAGGCUUUUGUCGGUGGAGGCUGCCAAGGAUGGCAGCCUGGGAAAUCAAAGCAAAGAAAGCUCACAUUGAAAGGGGGAAACCCGUUUUUACAUCUCCUUGCUUGUAUUUUGCUUUCCAGCGAGCCGAGCCUUUGAUUCCACCAACGGGUGGCAAAGGCGAGGGGGACAGAGGCUGCAGUCCUUGCAUACAGUUGGGUCAUUGUCCUUAUGUCAUUGGCUGGAAGAGGGAUCACAAUGAAUGUUCCGCACAGCAAUUCUUAUGGGAGCCAGAGCUGGCUUGCUGGGGGU